AGAGAGAGAGAAUCGAGGAAGAAGGAGGUAGUUCGAUCUGACCAGACCUGAUCCCGUCUGAUUUGGCCCGACCUAACCGGACCCUGUUUGAUUCAAUCCAACCUGACCUGAUGAGACAUGAUGAAACGAUUGGGAUGGAGGCGCACACGAGCGAAAGGUUAUGUAGAUUCAGGCUAGAUCAAUGUCAUGUACUCAUGUCGAUAUGUAUUAUGAACUCUUGAUCUUUAUAUUCCUAGACUUUA